rnacentral:rRNA from 2 species
UUUCUUGUUGGUGGGGUAAUGGCCUACCAAGGCGACGACGGGUAGCCGGCCUGAGAGGGCGACCGGCCACACUGGGACUGAGACACGGCCCAGACUCCUACGGGAGGCAGCAGUGGGGAAUAUUGCACAAUGGGCGAAAGCCUGAUGCAGCGACGCCGCGUGAGGGAUGACGGCCUUCGGGUUGUAAACCUCUUUCAGCAGGGAAGAAGCGAAAGUGACGGUACCUGCAGAAGAAGCGCCGGCUAACUACGUGCCAGCAGCCGCGGUAAUACGUAGGGCGCAAGCGUUGUCCGGAAUUAUUGGGCGUAAAGAGCUCGUAGGCGGCUUGUCACGUCGGAUGUGAAAGCCCGAGGCUUAACCUCGGGUCUGCAUUCGAUACGGGCUAGCUAGAGUGUGGUAGGGGAGAUCGGAAUUCCUGGUGUAGCGGUGAAAUGCGCAGAUAUCAGGAGGAACACCGGUGGCGAAGGCGGAUCUCUGGGCCAUUACUGACGCUGAGGAGCGAAAGCGUGGGGAGCGAACAGGAUUAGAUACCCUGGUAGUCCACGCCGUAAACGUUGGGAACUAGGUGUUGGCGACAUCCACGUCGUCGUCCGCAGCAGACGCAGCUG